GCCUGGGUGGCUGAGUCGGUUAAGCAUCUGACUUCAGCUCAGGUCAUGAUGCUGAGGUUGGUGGGUUUGAGCCCCGUGUUGGGCU
rnacentral:tRNA from 1 species